GACGAACGCUGGCGGCGUGCCUAAUACAUGCAAGUCGAGCGGACCUUUUAAAAGCUUGCUUUUGAAAGGUCAGCGGCGGACGGGUGAGUAACACGUGGGCAACCUGCCUGUAAGACUGGGAUAACUUCGGGAAACCGGAGCUAAUACCGGAUAAUAUAAGGAACCUCCUGGUUCUUUAUUGAAAGAUGGUCUCGGCUAUCACUUACAGAUGGGCCCGCGGGGCAUUAGCUAGUUGGUGAGGUAACGGCUCACCAAGGCGACGAUGCGUAGCCGACCUGAGAGGGUGAUCGGCCACACUGGGACUGAGACACGGCCCAGACUCCUACGGGAGGCAGCAGUAGGGAAUCUUCCACAAUGGACGAAAGUCUGAUGGAGCAACGCCGCGUGAGCGAUGAAGGCCUUCGGGUCGUAAAGCUCUGUUGUUAGGGAAGAACAAGUGCGAGAGUAGCUGCUCGCACCUUGACGGUACCUAACCAGAAAGCCACGGCUAACUACGUGCCAGCCGCCGCGGUAA
rnacentral:rRNA from 1 species